rnacentral:rRNA from 1 species
UAGUUUGAUCAUGGCUCGAGGACGACGCUGGCGGCGUGCUUAACACAUGCAAGUCGAACGGAACCUUCGGGUUUAGUGGCGAACGGGUGAGUAAAGCGCAGGUAAUCUGCCGCAAAGUCGGGGACAACGUUCCGAAAGGGACGCUAAUACCGGAUGUUGUGCGGAGUUCGCAUGGAUUCUGCACUAAAGAUUUAUCGCUUUGCGAGGAGCCUGCGUCCGAUUAGGUAGUUGGUAGAGUAAAAGCCUACCAAGCCGACGAUCGGUAGCCGGUCUGAGAGGAUGAACGGCCACAUUGGGACUGAGACACGGCCCAAACUCC